rnacentral:rRNA from 1 species
UACGGAGGGUGCGAGCGUUAUCCGGAAUCACUGGGUUUAAAGGGUGCGUAGGCGGCGAGGUAAGUCAGUUGUGAAAUUCUCCGGCUCAACCGGGUGGACUGCGAUUGAUACUGCUUUGCUUGAAGCGGGUUGAGGUAAGCGGAAUGUGGCAUGUAGCGGUGAAAUGCAUAGAUAUGCCAUAGAACACCGAUUGCGAAGGCAGCUUGCUGGGCCUAGUUUGACGCUGAGGCAAGAAAGCGUGGGGAGCAAACAGG